rnacentral:rRNA from 1 species
GUAGUCAUAUGCUUGUCUCAAAGAUUAAGCCAUGCAUGUCUAAGUAUAAGCACUUUAUACUGUGAAACUGCGAAUGGCUCAUUAAAUCAGUUAUCGUUUAUUUGAUAGUACCUUACUACAUGGAAACCUGUGGUAAUUCUAGAGCUAAUACAUGCUAAAAACCCCGACUUCGGAAGGGGUGUAUUUAUUAGAUAAAAAACCAAUGCUCUUCGGGGCUCCAUGGUGAUUCAUGAUAACUUAACGAAUCGCAUGGCCUUGUGCCGGCGAUGGUUCAUUCAAAUUUCUGCCCUAUGAACUUUCGAUGGUAGGAUAGUGGCCUACCAUGGUUUCAACGGGUAACGGGGAAA